UACAGAGGUCUCAAGCGUUGUUCGGAUUCAUUGGGCGUAAAGGGUGCGCAGGCGGCGAGGCAAGUCGGACGUGAAAUCCCGGGGCUUAACCCCGGAACUGCGAUCGAUACUGCUUUGCUUGAGGACUGGAGAGGAGACUGGAAUUCCUGGUGUAGCAGUGAAAUGCGUAGAUAUCAGGAGGAACGCCAAUGGCGAAGGCAAGUCUCUGGACAGUUCCUGACGCUCAUGCACGAAGGCCAGGGGAGCAAACGGG
rnacentral:rRNA from 1 species